UGGGGAAUUUUGGACAAUGGGCGAAAGCCUGAUCCAGCCAUGCCGCGUGCAGGAUGAAGGCCUUCGGGUUGUAAACUGCUUUUGUACGGAACGAAAAGCCUCUUUCUAAUAAAGAGGGGUCAUGACGGUACCGUAAGAAUAAGCACCGGCUAACUACGUGCCAGCAGCCGCGGUAAUACGUAGGGUGCAAGCGUUAAUCGGAAUUACUGGGCGUAAAGCGUGCGCAGGCGGUUUUGUAAGACAGAGGUGAAAUCCCCGGGCUCAACCUGGGAACUGCCUUUGUGACUGCAAGGCUGGAGUGCGGCAGAGGGGGAUGGAAUUCCGCGUGUAGCAGUGAAAUGCGUAGAUAUGCGGAGGAACACCGAUGGCGAAGGCAAUCCCCUGGGCCUGCACUGACGCUCAUGCACGAAAGCGUGGGGAGCAAACAGGAUUAGAUACCCUGGUAGUCCACGCCCUAAACGAUGUCAACUGGUUGUUGGGUCUUCACUGACUCAGUAACGAAGCUAACGCGUGAAGUUGACCGCCUGGGGAGUACGGCCGCAAGGUUGAAACUUAAAUGAAUUGACGGGGUCAUAGCUGUUUCCU
rnacentral:rRNA from 1 species